rnacentral:rRNA from 1 species
UACGUAGGGCGCAAGCGUUAUCCGGAAUUAUUGGGCGUAAAGAGCUCGUAGGCGGUUUGUCGCGUCUGCCGUGAAAGUCCGGGGCUCAACUCCGGAUCUGCGGUGGGUACGGGCAGACUAGAGUGAUGUAGGGGGAGACUGGAAUUCCUGGUGUAGCGGUGAAAUGCGCAGAUAUCAGGAGGAACACCGAUGGCGAAGGCAGGUCUCUGGGCAGUAACUGACGCUGAGGAGCGAAAGCAUGGGGAGCGAACAGG